rnacentral:rRNA from 1 species
ACUGAGUGGCGGACGGGUGAGUAACGCGUGGGUAACCUGCCUCAUACAGGGGGAUAACAGUUAGAAAUGACUGCUAAUACCGCAUAAGACCACAGUACCGCAUGGUACAGGGGUAAAAACUCCGGUGGUAUGAGAUGGACCCGCGUCUGAUUAGGUAGUUGGUGGGGUAACGGCCUACCAAGCCAACGAUCAGUAGCCGACCUGAGAGGGUGACCGGCCACAUUGGGACUGAGACACGGCCCAA